rnacentral:tRNA from 1 species
GCCUUCGUGGUGUAAGGGUUAGAACACUCGGCGCAUAUUCGAGAGGUCCAGGUUCGAGUCCUAGUGAGGGCA